rnacentral:rRNA from 1 species
AGAGUUUGAUCCUGGCUCAGGAUGAACGCUGGCGGCGUGCCUAAUACAUGCAAGUCGAACGGGGUGGAUGGGAGCUUGCUCCUUGAUACCUAGUGGCGAACGGGUGAGUAACACGUAGGUAACCUGCCCUUAAGCUUGGGAUACCCAGAGGAAACUUUGGCUAAUACCGGAUAACAACAGAAGAGGCAUCUCUUCAGUUUGAAAGGCCCUGCAAGGGGUCACUUAAGGAUGGACCUGCGGCGCAUUAGCUAGUUGGUGAGAUAACAGCCCACCAAGGCGAGGAUGCGUAGCCGACCUGAGAGGGUGAUCGGCCACAUUGGAACUGAGACACGGUCCAAACUCCUACGGGAGGCAGCAGUAAGGAGUUUUCGGCAAUGGGGGAAACCCUGACCGAGCAACGCCGCGUGAGUGAUUGACGGCCCUAUGGGUUGUAAAGCUCUGUUGUAAGGGACGAAUGAUUCGCUUAGGAAAUGAAGCAAAUUUGACGGUACCUUACCAGAAAGCCACGGCUAACUACGUGCCAGCAGCUGC